rnacentral:lncRNA from 1 species
ACUUACCCGUAAAAGUUAGAGGUUCUUAAGAGUGCCCUUGAUACUUUAAGGUGUGAGUCUACCCGUAAAAGACUGGUUCCUAAGCGAAGUAGCCUUAAAACUUAGAGAGGUUUUUAAGAGUUCCUUGAUACUCUAAGGUACUAACUUACCCGUAAAAGUUAGAGGUUCUUAAGAGUGCCCUUGAUACUCUAAGGUGUGAGUCUACCCGUAAAAGACUGGUUCCUAAGCGAAGUAGCCUUAAAGCUUAGAAAGGUUUUGCCAUUACCUUUAGGCGAGUGAAUUUCGGCAGUUGGUCGGGACUGGACUAGCCCUUGUUUGGGUGAACCAGUAUAAAUCUCUUGUGUUGUUCUCUGUUAAUUAUAGUUCUAUCUUUUACUUAAAAACAACACUUAAUUAAAAAGAUCCCUCUUCCAGUUAUCUGGUCAAACACAGAGGUUGACUACUUUACGCAGAUCCCUCAUCCAGUUAUCUGGUCAACUAUCUGAGGUUAUAUUCAUUGCUUUAAAUCCUUAUAUUUGUUCAAGUAUUACUUAUCAUAUUUAUCCAGUUAUCUGGUCACUUACUUGUUUAUCAACUUAUCCAGUUAUCUGGUCAAUUACUUGUUUGUCAAUAUAUCCAGUUAUCUGGUCAUUUACUUGCUUAUCAAUAUAUCCAGUUAUCUGGUCAUUUACUCUACAAUACAAUUUGUGUUUCCAAUAUAACUUAGUAUUCAUAUACUAUAGUUGUGUGUGAAACACUAUCAAGCAAGUUGACUCAGUAUUCAUAUACUGUAGUAAGCUUCGAAGAGUAAUACUUACAUUAUUAUAUCAAUUAAAAUAAUAAUAUCCUUAUAUCAUUACUGUUCAACCAUUUGUUUAUUAAGCAUUUACAGGUAAUUCCGCUAUCAACCUGUAUA